AUUGAACGCUGGCGGCGUGCUUAACACAUGCAAGUCGAUCGGUAACGCGGGGGCAACCCUGGCGACGAGAGGCGGACGGGUGAGGAACGCUUGGGAAUCUGCCUAUCAGCGGGGGACAACACGGGGAAACUCGUGCUAAUACCGCAUACGCUCUACGGAGGAAAGCCGGGGAUCGCAAGACCUUGCGCUGAUUGAGCGGCCGAUGUCAGAUUAGCUAGUUGGUGAGGUAAAGGCUCACCAAGGCGACGAUCUGUAGCGGGUCUGAGAGGAUGAUCCGCCACACUGGAACUGAGACACGGUCCAGACUCCUACGGGAGGCAGCAGUGGGGAAUUUUGGACAAUGGGGGCAACCCUGAUCCAGCCAUGCCGCGUGAGUGAAGAAGGCCUUCGGGUUGUAAAGCUCUUUCGGCCGGGAAGAAAUCGCACGGGCUAAUACCCUGUGUGGAUGACGGUACCGGAAUAAGAAGCACCGGCUAACUACGUGCCAGCCGCCGCGGUAAAAC
rnacentral:rRNA from 1 species